CGCGGCCUAUCAGCUUGUUGGUGAGGUAAUGGCUCACCAAGGCGUCGACGGGUAGCCGGCCUGAGAGGGUGACCGGCCACACUGGGACUGAGACACGGCCCAGACUCCUACGGGAGGCAGCAGUGGGGAAUAUUGCACAAUGGGCGAAAGCCUGAUGCAGCAACGCCGCGUGAGGGAUGACGGCCUUCGGGUUGUAAACCUCUUUUAGCAGGGAAGAAGCGAAAGUGACGGUACCUGCAGAAAAAGCGCCGGCUAACUACGUGCCAGCAGCCGCGGUAAUACGUAGGGCGCAAGCGUUAUCCGGAAUUAUUGGGCGUAAAGAGCUCGUAGGCGGUUUGUCGCGUCUGCUGUGAAAUCCCGAGGCUCAACCUCGGGCCUGCAGUGGGUACGGGCAGACUAGAGUGCGGUAGGGGAGAUUGGAAUUCCUGGUGUAGCGGUGGAAUGCGCAGCUAUCAGGAGGAACACCGAUGGCGAAGGCAGAUCUCUGGGCCGUAACUGACGCUGAGGAGCGAAGGGGUGGGGAGCAAACAGGCUUAGAUACCCUGGUAGUCCACCCCGUAAACGUUGGGAACUAGUUGUGGGGUCCAUUCCACGGAUUCCGUGACGCAGCUAACGCAUUAAGUUCCCCGCCUGGGGAGUACGG
rnacentral:rRNA from 1 species